CUUUUUGUAGGUUAACUUAAACCGGAGGCCUGUGGAGCCUCAGAUCAUGAUUUGUAAAAAGU
rnacentral:tRNA from 1 species